CAGUCGCCACGGUAACACGUAGGUGGCAAGCGUUGUCCGGAAUUAUUGGGCGUAAAGGGCUCGCAGGCGGUUUCUUAAGUCUGAUGUGAAAGCCCCCGGCUCAACCGGGGAGGGUCAUUGGAAACUGGGAAACUUGAGUGCAGAAGAGGAGAGUGGAAUUCCACGUGUAGCGGUGAAAUGCGUAGAGAUGUGGAGGAACACCAGUGGCGAAGGCGACUCUCUGGUCUGUAACUGACGCUGAGAAGCGAAAGCGUGGGGAGCGAACAGGAUUAGAUACCCGGGUAGUCCAUGUCUCUUAUAA
rnacentral:rRNA from 1 species